rnacentral:lncRNA from 1 species
GUCAUGCUUUUCAGUCAAAAUUAACUCUGGGGGUAUAACGGUAAUUUUGCACCUAGGGGUAUAACAGUAAUUUUCCAUACAUAGGGGUAUUAUAGUAAUUUAGCUACUUUUAGGGUUUUCAUGCAUAUCCUAACUAUUUACGUACUAUCAGAACACUUACUGCGCAUACUUACCGAAUUGGGCCCGUUGGCCCAUGAACCCGAUCUUUGGCCCAUUAAGCCCAAAUUAUCAAAAUGUACAAAAUCGCGCGUACUGCAGUUUAUUACUUUAGAUUACCAAAUAUACAAACCCAACUAUCUUACGAGCAUUCGCACACUCGCAAAUUCCCAAAAUACCGACUUUUCGGCAUUUCAGCUUUUCGGCUUUUGCCAAUCUAGUCUAUGAGAGGGUGUCAGUUACACACCUGUUUGCGACGAUAUGCUGACGAGAUCCACACACGAACCGCCUACAAUUGGAUUACUAACACGUUAAUCUAACUAUUCAAAUACAAACUACGUAUUAACCCCUUACAAUAUUCGGCCAACCACACCUACAGAUCAUAGUAAGCUUAUAAGAAAUCAAUAAGCAACUCAUUAACAAAUUUUUGUCAAUGUUUACCACAUAAUCAUAAUUUUACUGCAAGCUGUCUUCCUGAGCAACAGUCACUAAAUUAUUUAUAACUGGAGUUACGAAAAUCCAAAUCAAGUUCCGUUAAUUUUCCCUGAAAAUAGACUCAUAUAUCUUCUAUCCAUAAAAUUUUCAGAAUUUUUGGUAUGACCAAUCAAUACCAGAUUUUUCUUAAAGUUUCCCAUGUUUCACUGUUUGACUAAUCUGACCACUCUUCAUUACGAAUCAAAUUUCUCAUUGUACAGAAUUCAAAAUAUGUUCUCGUUUAUUCCAUUUGAAACUAGAAUCAUUAAGCUUUAAUUACAUAAUUUAUGCAGCUUCUAACUCAUCUCCCACAAUUUAUGGUGAUUUUCCAAAGUCACGUUACUGCUGCUGUCCUAAGCAGAUUUAUCACCAAAUCACUCUUUCACCUAACUUGCAUGCUUGUUAUUUAAACAUGUAUAUCACCAAUCAAUCAUUCUCCAUUUCAUCAUUUUAAAGCACAACAUGUUAGCCGAUUUUUCCCCUUAGCAUCUAAGGCACAUGCAUGCUCAUUUGUUUGGCUCAACUUCACCUAUCUUCCAUUUUUCAUCAAAAGAACAUGAAACAACAACCAUUUCCUUCAUUUUAAUUCAUGACUAAAUGCUCACAACACAACUAAAAAUCAAAAUAUACUUCAAGAGUUAAGGUAGAAUCAAGAAGAACUCAUGAACCUCAAAAUAAGAAGCAAGGUACCAAGAACUUACCUUCAAUUUUCCUCCUCCUAAUGACCGAAUACUCAAGAGCUUUCUCCUCUCCUUUCUCUUCUCUAACUUUCAGCUAUGAUGAACAAAGAUGGAUAAAACUUUGUUCUUUUCACCCCUUUUUCUUUUAAUAAAACUUCAUAUUUCAUCCAUUUAAUUCUUUAAUACAAAAGACAUGAAAUUCUUAUCAUGAAACAUUUACCUAACCCAUUAUCAUGAAACAUUUAUCUAACCCAUUAUCAUGGAACAUUUACCUAACCUAUUAUCAUGGAACAUUUACCUAACCUAUUAUCAAUUUGUAUCAAUUUGUACCAUAAAUUAUGGAUAUCAAGUGUACAUUUUGUCUACAACAACAUGAUGGCUGGCCACUUCAUGUAAAAUGGGAGGUUUGUCAUGCAAAUCCUCCUAUUUUGCACUCCUAUAUAUUUGGCCAUUUUAAUUUAGCCUAUAGCAUUUCCAAAACAUUUUCACAUAGGUCCUAUUUCAUAAUUUCACUCCCUUUUUCUUAUGGAACAAAAAUUAACUAAAAUUACCGGGUUCUAUCUUAAGCUUGGGCCUUCUAGAGGCCCACUAACAUAAUUAAACCUAUGCCAACAUUCACAGGAUUCCCGAAAAUUGGGGCGUUACAAUUCUACCCUCCUUAAAGAAAUUUCGUCCUCAAAAUUUACCUAAUCCAAACAGAUUAGGGUAUUGCUGUUGCAUCGUCUCUUCUGGCUCCCAAACUCAGAAGUUUCCCCUUCCUUAACUUGUUGAAAACGAGCGACCAAAGACUCAUCGUUCAACUGUUUUUCCUUAAUCUGAUCCACCCAGGUUGGCCUCACUUGCAACUCAGCCAACAGACUUCCAUUAUCAUAUAGACUCAAACGAGCAAACAUUGCUCUCAGAUCAGAUACAGCUCUACGACUUAGAGCAUCGGCUACCACAUUAGCCUUGCUUAUGUGAUACUUGAUCGAACAGUCAUAAUCCUUAAGCAACUCAAUCCAUCUCCUUUGCCUAAGGUUCAGCUCCUUCUGAGUCAACAAAUACUUAAGACUCUUAUGGUCAGUGUAUAUAAUACACCUUUCUCCGUACAAGUAAUGUCUCCAAAUCUUAAGUGCAAAUAUCACUACUGCCAACUCUAAAUCACGAGUCAAAUAGUUUCCCUCAUGAGGCUUAAGCUAUCGUGAUGCAUAUGAAACCACCUUACCAUCUUGCAUUAACACGCAGCCCAAACCCACGUGUGAUGCGUCACUGUACACAAUAAAAUCAUUCCCAGACUCCGGCUGAAUUAACACAAGUGCUUCAGUCAGAACUUUCUUCAACUUCUCAAAUGCUUCCUGCUGUUUCUUAGUCCAUACAAACGGUACUCCUUUCCUUAUGUGUUUUGUCAGAGGUGCUGCCAUCACAAAAAAAAACCUUCCACAAACCUUCUGUAGUAUCCUGCCAGUCCUAGGAAACUCCGUAUUUCCGACACUGACCUAGGCGGCUUCCUCUCCAAAAUCGCUUCAAUUUUCCGAGGGUCCACCUUAAUCCCCUCAGCAGAGACCGCAUGUCCUAAGAAGGUUACCUCCCUCAACCAAAGUUCAGACUUGCUGAACUUCACAAAGACUUCCUUCUCUCUUAACACUUGCAGCACUAUAUAGAGAUGCUCAUCAUGUUUCACUUUAGUUUCAGAAUAUACUAGGAUAUCGUUAAUAAAUACGACUACGAACUGAUCCAAACAUGGUUGGAACACACGAUUCAUCAGAUCCAUAAACGCUACAGGAGCGUUCGUUAGUCCAAAUGGCAUAACUAGAAACUCGUAAUGACCAUACCGAGUCCUGAAUGCCGUCUUAUGGAUAUCUACCUCCUUGACCCUUAACUGAUGAUAUCCAGAUCGUAGGUCGAUCUUAGAAAAUACAGAAGCCCCUCUAAGCUGGUCAAACAGAUCGUCAAUCCUUGGCAGUGGAUACUUAUUCUUAAUUGUCAAUUUGUUCAACUGGCGAUAAUCAAUGCACAUCCGCAUUGUACCAUCCUUCGGUGCUCUCCAUGGAGACACGCUUGGCCUAAUGAAGCCCCUAUCCAACAACUCUUGAAUUUGUGCCUUUAGCUCCACCAACUUCUUCGGUGCCAUUCUAUACGGUGCGAUAGACACUGGUGCCGUUCUAGGCAAUAAGUCGAUUCCAAACUCCACUUCUCGGUUUGGAGGCAAUCUUGGAAGCUCCUCCAAAAAAACAUCUUGGAACUCCUUUACGGUCUUAACCUUAUCCACUGUCAGUCCCUCCUCUUCUGACUGACUUACAAAUGCCAAAUAGACCUCACAACCUUUCCGAAUCCACUUUUCGGCUCUUAAUGCCGCCAUAUUGGACAAAUAAUCCCUUCUCUCACCUAUCACCAUAACCUCCUCAUCCUUUGUAGUUCUUAACACCAUUCGUUUAGCAGCAUAAUCCAGAGUCGCCUUAUGCUUAACAAGCCAAUCCAUUCCCAGAAUGAGGUCAAACUCUCCGAACGGUAACUCCAUCAGAUCUCCAGGAAAAACCUUGCCUUGAGUUUCUAAGGGUACAUUCCUAUACAGUUUGUCUACCCUAACCGAGUGACCCAAAGGACUUAGUACAUAUACCCCACUCACAAUCUCCUCAGAGCAGUCCAAGUCGUCUAUAAUCCGUUCUGUAGCCUCCAACCAAUAUUCCGCCACAUUUGGGGCUAUACCAGACACGCCCUUAAAGAUCUCCAUUCCGUUAGUCCCGAAGUCAUUCAGAAAUAGAUCCCUAAAUUUCGUUGCCCGAACUUGCUCCGGCAACCCUUUCCAGAACACGAAGCAUUGCCUGUGACAGGGCAACAUCCUCGACAGCCCGAUCAUACGGCCCAUUCUUAUCCGCCGGUGGUGGUUGUGCUACUUCAGUGGGUAUGUGUUCAGAAGACGAAGAUCCAGCUUGAGUACUACCUCGGCCUCCACCACGGCCUCUUCCCCGAGUAGCUUUCGUACUCAUAUCGAUUUAUCUUGAUUACGAAUUUUUAUGCAUCAAUUCAAUAUUCCAGUGUUUAUUACAGAUGUUUUAUGAAUCAGACAGUAAUUCAAAGUUUGUUUUCGCAGAAUCGAAGUCUAGCUACAGUUUCAGUCUCUUAUUAGAUUUUCCUAUGGUUUCAGAAUCAUCCUAUCUAGAGUAUCCUAGUAGGGUUUCAGUACAGACAGAUAAUUCAGGAAAAUAUUCAGAAAAGUUCAGAGUAAUACUUACAGGCUUGGGCCGGAGAUUCGGAAUGCCACUUUCCAAAGAUCUAAAUUUUGAAAAUCGAGUUUUUCGCAUUCUUUAUAAAAUUUUCGCUUUCAAAAAUUUUUGUUCUUGUAAACCCAUUCCACAGCCGAGUUGUUGCAACCUAGGCUUUGAUACCACUAAAUAUAACACCCCAAACCCGGCCCAGAAGUUAUGGGCGGAUCCGGCAUGCCACAUCAAAAACGUUAAAAAAAAAUUUUCAUUCUAAGUCCAGAAAAUCGUACUUGAUGUUCAAAAGAUUAAUUUAUUAAGGGUUAAGGUGAAUGGAAGCUGUGCACCAGGUAGGAAACCGAAAAAGAGGAGGUGAGUCCAUCGGACUGCUUAAGUACCAAACUCCCUUCGAAUCCAAUCCUAGACAUGCAAACCGCCAUUGCCAUACCUUAACGUCAUGUAUAUAUCUAGGAAACCAAUUUGAUUAAGUCCUUUUUAGGAAAAGUGAUUAAUUUUGGAAAAUAUCUUCAUUACGGAAGCUUUGCUUGUUUUCGUGUUAUUUUAAAAUCCAUUACUGUUUUUGAAAACGCGCCCUAAAGCUAUCCAAUUUCAACAGUUAAAUAUAAAUAUUACCUAUCUUAAUAAAACAUAUAAAAUCCAUCAAAAAUAAAUAAGCGGCCUUAUUACAUUUAAAAGCCCAAAACCUCAAACGUAAUUAAAAGGAUGUCCAGUUCACCAGAAGAAAAUCAAACUUUCAGAACCGGUGGCCACUCCGAAUUCCCUCACAGCUCCAAGCCCACUAUGGUUGGGGAUUUCCUGCGUGGAUGAAAAUAAAAGGGGUGAGUUUGGGGAAACUCAGUGUGUAAAUUAACCCAACCAUAGCCUAUAUCAGCUCAAACCACAGAAAUAGAAUAAGUUGGCCUUAGCCCAGAACAGAAUUCAGAAUAAAGCCCAUAGGCCCAUAACAGAACAGAACAGAUAUUACAUGUUUAUGCAGAAACCCAACCAUAUCCAACUGUAUACACCCCCGUACCAACCUUACACCGUGUGGGGAGACAACUCGACCCACCCAACAGCUACACACCACAGAAUUUGCAGCAUGGCUGCCAGAACAGAUAAUGUGACAGAGUCACCAGAUACAGAUAAUCGUGGUAGAGCCACCAGAACAGAUAUAUGUGGCAGAGCCACCAGAUCAGAUAUUUGUGGCAUAGCCACCAGAACAGAUAUAUGUAGCAGAGCCACCAGAUCAGAUAAUUGUGGCAUAGCCACCAGGGCGCUUCCUCCAUAAUAUAACCCAUGUCCCCAUGCAACAGAUAUAUAAUCAUGGCAUACAUCAUACAGAAUCAGAUCCUCAUGCUUUUCAGUCAAAAUUAACCCUAGGGGUAUAACGGUAUUUUUGCACCUAGGGGUAUAACAGUAAUUUUCCAUACAUAGGGGUAUUAUAGUAAUUUACCUACUUUUAGGGUUUUCAUGCAUAUCCUAACUAUUUACGUACUAUCAGAACACUUACCGCGCAUACUUACCGAAUUGGGCCCGUUGGCCCAUGAACCCGAUCUUUGGCCCAUUAAGCCCAAAUUAUCAAAAUGUACGAAAUUGCGCGUACUGCAGUUUAUUACUUUAGAUUACCAAAUAUACAAACCCAACUAUCUUACGAGCAUUCGCACACUCGCAAAUUCCCAAAAUACCGACUUUUCGGCAUUUCGGCUUUUCGGCUUUUGCCAAUCUAGUCUAUGAGAGGGUGUCAGUUACACACCUGUUUGCGACGAUAUGCUGACGAGAUCCAC